CAACCUGGAAAAGUUUUUAUCUCCAGUAAAAAAAAAAAUCUUAAAUUACAGACGGGAAAGGUCUGUAGCAUAGCCAAACACGUGAAUGGAUGGACCACGUGAUGCUAGGCCUAUGUAUAACAUUUUAUUGGGUCUCGAGUUAAUAUUUUUUUAGCAAAGGUUUGCGAGGUAGUAUUUUGUUGUGGAGAGCACAGAGCACACGCUGCCCAGCACACCCCCCUCUCUCCAUCUAGCGCGGUCUGGCAUUCGGAAAGAACAACUUUGCAGCAGAAUCAAACAACCUGGACUGAGUGGUAGACGUAGCAUAGUAAACGUAACUCCAGUGGCGUAAUGUGACGUUUUGUAUUUAUUUAUUUAUUUUCAUUUAACUAGGCAAGUCAGUUAAGAACAGAUUUUUAUUUACAAUGGCGGGUUGCUGUCAUACCUGGUCCAUAGACUGCUUAAAAACAACAACAUGUAAUUUUGGAAUUUGGGUGAACUAUCCCUUUAAAUAACCUUCUGUCUCAUGUGACCAUACCCCCCCCCACCCAAAAAAGAAAUGUUGUAAAAAAUUAUAAUAUAAUAAACACCUAUCUUUUCCCACUAGCACUGACUUUGCAGAUAAAUACUUUGUUGAGGGAAAAUGUCCUUGAUACGAUUGCGAUGGGUUGUUGUCUCACCUAGCUAUCUUAAAAUGAAUACACUAAUUGUAAGUCACUCUGGAUAAGAGUGUCUGCUCAAUGACUAAAAUGUUAAAAAAAUAUUUUCAUAAAGUUUAUCAUACUAAUUUGAGUAUCCUGAUUUAGAUUUACUAUGUUACGUCUAGUGUAUGAGACCAGGCUGAAUCGAAGCAGCAAGAUCGGUGGCAGAAUGCUGCAGUUUAACUGGAUUUAACAACGGUGUGGGGCUCUGUCCUCGAAUGAAGAGGAAGCUAAUAUCGAUUUAUUUUAAUCUUCUUGGUUUGGACAGGUGUAGCGUAAUAUCAUGCAAAUGAAAGCCAACAUUUUUAUGUGGGCUGUUUACACAGCGGCACCUCGUUUACAUGCUGAUUGAUUUUAGUUCAAGAUGUCUUUAUCUGCAUCUACAAAUAUCCCACCUGCACUGACAGCGGAUCAGCUAACGGUCAUCGUGGCCUCCGUGUCCUGCCUGGUGUUCUUCGUAGUGAUUCUCGUGCUCCUGGUGGUCUUGUACAGGAAAGACCCUUUCUGCUGCAGGGUGUCGAACAACCAGCACUGUACAGAUGCUCCACCCCAGUACAACAGAAGACAGUCUCUAGUGGUGUCUCCCUACGAUGAACGUACUGCUGCCAUGGCCCACGGAAACAUUGGUUCCCAGCUUCCAGGGAGGCUGUUUAUCAUCGGUAAGCCCAGUAGCUAUCACCUGGAUGGGAUCCUGCCCCGCCUUCCGUCCUACGAGAGCGUCCGUAAGAAGGACCGUCAGAGACAGAUCCACUCUAUGAUAGCCAACCGCUUUGGUAUCAGCCCCACACAGUCUGAAACGGAGCCUCCUCCGACGUAUGAGGAGACUCUUCGCCAGUCCAUGAUCAUCUCCUCUGAAGACCUACAGUCUGUUGAGGCACGUCCCUCAGACCUCCCUCUCUCCACCUCUACCUCCAGCCUUGAACACACAGUGACAGUAGCCCGGUCACCCUACCACCCUAUUCAGAGCCCGACCCAGGAACCCCUCUCUGUCUAGUCCAGGAGUUAUUUGAGGGCCGGAACACUACUGGUUUUCAACUUCGCAUUUUAACUACAGACUCAUGUUUCUACCCUUUGCAAGAGAAAAGAAGACAAAUCAACAAAGAAAGAGACAUUGUCAUGAUAAUGCAUGAGUCAGUUUCACUCAGAGUUUGUCCUACUGAGACUAACGCUCUCAACUCUGACUGUCUGUUGGUGUAGCGAGUGGUUUUAACAUGACUGUAUGCUGUAAAUGGCUUGAUAUCCUGCCACUGGCAAUGAUAUCCUUUAUCAGCUAAAUAAUCAAAUCAGCCUACAUUUCAAACUCUAGACAUGCUCGGGUGUGUGGAAAGAAGAUGUCCGCACCUCACAAGCAGACAUAUUAUGCUUCAAUCACAACGUCCAAUGUUGUAGACAACCACAAAACAAGGACACUGUCUCGAGUUGAACGUGUUAAUGAAAAAUCGAAAUCUCCUUGUUUCAAAAGAACACCGAGCUAUGAAUACCCAGCUACCUGACAUGUGAUGAUGACGGCUUUGAGUGUAGGGCCAGACCAGAGAGCUGUUGUGGUUGAACACAUCACUAAUUAUUAACACUACUGAGACAGACAAUGCCUAUGUCCCAAAUGGCACCCUUAAUCCCCAUGUAGUGCACUACAUAGGAAAUAGGGUCCCAUUUGAGACACAAUCAAAGUGUGUUCACUCAGGAACAGUUGACCAGGGACUGUUUGUCUUAACCCAGGUCAAACUAACUAUGCACAGAGAAACUCACAAUGACCCUGACGUUUUCUGACCGUGACGUUCCGGAUUGUUUUUGAAACUGCACUGUCGGUUAGGGGCUCGUAAGUAAGCAUUUCACUGUAAGGUGUGACCUGUUGUACUCGGCGCAUGUGACUAAUACAAUUUGAUUUGAUUUACCUCCUGGGCUAAACUGGAAUGGGUUUGUCAAUGUGUUUAGACUGAGAUACGUUAUGUAUACUAUGUAAAACAUUCCUAUUAUGUGUGACCCAAAUCAAACAAAAAAACAUGUGAAAGUAAUAGUUAAAUAGCUGAACCAAAAAGGGUAAAAUAGGUGAACUAAAGUAGAUAUAAAUUACCUAUCCGCUUUUUAAAAAAGUUUACUCUAACCACGUUUCCAUCCACAUUUUUAAUGCUAGUAAAGUCAGCUGUGAAGGAAACAAGAAGUUUCAGUACUAUUUUAUAAAUGCUGACAGAUCAUUUGUUCGUUCGACAUGGUGGGAUCUUUUUGUGUCUGUAAAAUGUGUUAUGUGAGAAAUGGCGGUGGAAACUCGUUUAUGCACAAAUAUUGAUAUAACAACCAUCGUAUGGAAGUAAACUUGGAGUCACGCGAUGACAUGGUGUGUGUGGUCCUCCCACUACGACUGGGGAAUCCAUGCAGUUUAUUAGAAUACAGAUGAAAUAAAUGAUGAACUUCACAGGGGGGUGAAAGUGCACAGUGAUGAGCUUGAUGCUCCUUUCCAAUAAAUAUUGAGGGUCUGAUUCUGGUGAUCGAUGCUUGACUGCCAUUUGACAAAAACAAAUAUUGUUGCUCCUAUCCAUAAUAAUCUCAUCAUGUAGACUAGCCUACCCGCACUGUAUCUACAAGCUGUUGGCUAGAGCGAACGUGCCAAGACCAAUGAGCCUGUCCUCCUACAGCUCCCCCCACCAGCCUCCAUUGCAGAGUAGGUACAUUUACUAUUUAACGUAACAGUUCUUUGUGACAAAACUAUCAGUAGAAGUGAAAAUGUGAUGGCAACAUAUUGAACUUUAGACUUUUAUUAAGUACAUGAAAACUUAAGCAAAAAAGAAAAUUGUGUGCGUCAUCGCUCACUGAUUUUUAUUUGCAAGAAGUCAGUUUGAAUUACACCACUAGUGGGAAAAUCUCCAUAUUUUCUUUAUGCAGAUUUAUUGAAUAUUCACAUGAAAAUCAGUCUCUAAUUAAAUGGAAAACUAGCUAGUGAGACAAAUUAGUUUAGAUUUGUUGUAUUAACUUGACCUAUAUUCAUCUGACAGGAUUGCUAUCAAACUUACUGUCAAGGUGUCAAAAGGGAACACUCCUGCUGUUCUGUUCAUUGACGUUUGUUAAAGUGAGUUAAUUUGUCCGUUUUUCUCUACCAGGCACAAAUAUGUCCAUAUCCUAGAAUAGAUGGUGAGUAAUGUCAGCGAAGGGAGUAGCGACCUCAUUUUAACCUCUCCCUCUUUGCAGAGUUUCUCUCCCCAAACGCAAUCUUCCCCUAAGCACUUACAAAUCUUAUAACACAACACGCUCUAAACUACAGCGCUCAUCAGUUAUUAGAGGGCCUCCAUGAGAAGUGUUUUGACAAGCUGUCAUCUUGUGGUGAAUGUACCAGGGCAUUCGUAAUGUAUUCCACACUCCCCUGCAUUCCACUGGGAGGAGUUGACAUACCAUCUGUAACUCAUACUCUCAAAAUAAAUGGCACCUAACUCACUCUACAGGUUCUGAGUAAAGUAUGAUUUGUAAAAUACUAUAAACAUCCUGCCAUCACACUGGGCACAGACAUCAGUCCAAAUUCUACUUUUGAUUUCCAUUUGGUGGAGUUGUCAACUACUGUGAAUUCAACAACAAAACAUCUCACCAUGUCAUUGGAUUUAGGUUCAAAGUUUGGCGAAAGACAAAUUCCCUUACGUUGAUGACUUUCUUUCAAAUUGAAUCAGUUUUACACAUUGAUAAAAAAAAAUUGUUGAAAUAACGUAGAAACAUUGAUUCAAUCAGUUUCUGCCCAGUGGGAUGUCUAUUUGGAGUUUUGUUAUUCUCCAAAAUGGAUCAAUCCUGGUACGAGCAGAAUGUGAAUGGGUUUUACACUAAAUUCACAGGAAAUUACAAGUCAACACCCAACGUUUCAUGAACCAGGGUCAUCAACACGAAAUGAUUUGAGGUAGUUGGCUAUAAGAUAACGCAUAGGGCUGUGAGUUAAUGAUUAAAGAGAGUUCUUUAGAAUACAGUCUGCUGCUAAAAAGUGUAAUAUAUUACUUCACUCUGCUUCGCAGGUUCUUUAAAAAACCGUUUUUACAUUAUCCCUCCAUGGUCUGUACGGAGAAAACCGUUUUUACAUUAUCCCUCCAUGGUCUGUACGGAGAAAACCGUUUUUACAUUAUCCCUCCAUGGUCUGUACGGAGAAAACCGUUUUUACAUUAUCCCUCCAUGGUCUGUACGGAGAAAACCGUUUUUACAUUAGCCCUCCAUGGUCUGUACGGAGAAAACCGUUU
rnacentral:lncRNA from 1 species